rnacentral:rRNA from 1 species
GACGAACGCUGGCGGCGUGCUUAACACAUGCAAGUCGAACGGAAAGGCCCUUCGGGGUACUCGAGUGGCGAACGGGUGAGUAACACGUGGGUGAUCUGCCCUGCACUUUGGGAUAAGCCUGGGAAACUGGGUCUAAUACCGAAUAGGACCGCGCGCUUCAUGGUGUGUGGUGGAAAGCUUUUGCGGUGUGGGAUGGGCCCGCGGCCUAUCUGCUUGUUGGUGGGGUAAUGGCCUACCAAGGCGACGACGGGUAGCCGGCCUGAGAGGGUGACCGGCCACACUGGGACUGAGAUACGGCCCAGACUCCUACGGGAGGCAGCAGUGGGGAAUAUUGCACAAUGGGCGCAAGCCUGAUGCAGCGACGCCGCGUGAGGGAUGACGGCCUUCGGGUUGUAAACCUCUUUCACCAGGGACGAAGCGCAAGUGACGGUACCUGGAGAAGAAGCACCGGCCAACUACGUG